rnacentral:rRNA from 1 species
CCUACGGGCGGCAGCAGUGGGGGAUAUUGCACAAUGGGGGAAACCCUGAUGCAGCGACGCCGCGUGGGCGAAGAAGUAUUUCGGUAUGUAAAGCCCUAUCAGCAGGGAAGAAAAAAUGACGGUACCUGAGUAAGUAGCACUGGCUAAAUACGUGCCAGCAGCCGCGGUAAUACGUAUGGUGCAAGCGUUAUCCGGAUUUACUGGGUGUAAAGGGAGCGCAGGCGGCACGGCAAGCCUGAUGUGAAAGCCCGCGGCGCAACCGCGGGACUGCAUUGGGAACUACCGGGCUGGAGUGCCGGAGAGGUAGGCGGAAUUCCUAGUGUAGCGGUGAAAUGCGUAGAUAUUAGGAAGAACACCAGUGGCGAAGGCAGCCUACUGGACGGUGACUGACGCUGAGGCUCGAAAGCGUGGGGAGCAAACAGGAUUAGAUACCCUUGUAGUC